rnacentral:rRNA from 1 species
AUUGAACGCUGGCGGCAGGCCUAACACAUGCAAGUCGAACGAGUGGCGGACGGGUGAGUAAUGUCUGGGAAACUGCCUGAUGGAGGGGGAUAACUACUGGAAACGGUAGCUAAUACCGCAUACCAUCAGAUGUGCCCAGACGGGAUUAGCUAGUUGGUGGGGUAACUGCUCCCCACGGCGACGAUGCCUAGCUGGUCUGAGAGGAUGACCAGCAACACUGGAACGAAAACACGGGCCAGACCCCUACGGGAGGCAGCAGUGGGGAAUAUUGCACAAGGGGCGCAAUCCUGAUGCAGCCAUGCCGCGUGUAUGAAGAAGGCCUUCGGGUUGUAAAGUACUUUCAGCGUGGAGGCGUUACCCGCAGAAGAAGCACCGGCUAACUCCGUGCCAGCAGCCGCGGUAAUUC